rnacentral:rRNA from 1 species
GUUAGGAAUAUUGGACAAUGGGCGAAAGCCUGAUCCAGCCAUGCCGCGUGAACGAUGAAGGCCUUCGGGUUGUAAAGUUCUUUAGCCGAUGAUUAUAAUGACUGUAGUCGGAAAAUAAGCCCCGGCUAACUUCGUGCCAGCAGCCGCGGUAAUACGAAGGGGGCGAGCGUUAUUCGGAAUCACUGGGCGUAAAGCGUGCGUAGGCGGUUUUGUAAGUUAGGAGUGAAAGCCCAGGGCUCAACCUUGGAAUUGCUCUUAAAACUGCAAGGCUCGAAUCUCGGAGAGGAUAGCGGAAUUUCCAGUGUAGCAGUGAAAUGCGUAGAUAUUGGAAGGAACACCAGUGGCGUAAGCGGCUAUCUGGACGAGUAUUGACGCUGAGGCAUGAAAGCGUGGGGAUCAAACAGGAUUAGAAACCCCUGUAGUCC